UACCAUGCAGUCGAACGCACACUCUUGCGAAAGAGAGUGAGUGGCGGACGGGUGAGUACCACGUGGGUACCUGCCCCAAGAUGAGGAAUACCACCGAGAAAUCGGUGACAAUACCGCAUAACUUCGGUGACGAAGAAAGCUUCUUUUCGGAGAGGCGUCUUGGGAUGGGCCUGCGCCUGAUUAGCUAGUUGGUGGGGUAAGAGCUUACCAAGGCCACGAUCAGUAGCUGGUCUGAGAGGAUGAUCAGCCACACUGGGAUUGAGAACGGCCCAGACUCCUACGGGGGGCAGCAGUGAGGAAUUUUCGUCAAUGGGGGCAACCCUGAACGAGCAACGCCGCGUGCAGGAUGACACUUUUCGGAGCGUAAACUGCUUUUCUGGGGGAAGAGAACGGACGGUACCCCAGGAAGAAGCCCCGGCUAACUACGUGCCAGCAGCCGCGGUAAUACGUAGGGGGCAAGCGUUGUCCGGAGUUACUGGGCGUAAAGCGCCCGCAGGCGGUCUCCUCAGUUCAGACUGACAAUCCCCAGCUCAACUGGGGAGGGCGUUUGAAAACUAGGAGACUUGAGGGAUCAAGAGGGACAGGGAAUUCCGGGUGGAGUGGUGAAAUGCGUAGAUAUCCGGAGGAACACCAAAGGCGAAGGCACUGUCCUGGUGAUUUCCUGACGCUGAGGGGCGAAAGCUAGGGGAGCGAACGGGAUUAGAUACCCCGGUAGUCCUAGCCGUAAACGAUGACCACUAGAUGUUCGGNGUAUCGACCCCCUGAGUAUCGCAGCUAACGCGAUAAGUGGUCCGCCUGGGGAGUACGGUCGCAAGAUUAAAACUCAAAGGANUUGACGG
rnacentral:rRNA from 1 species